rnacentral:misc_RNA from 1 species
GGGGGGAAGCGCCUUGACGUUGCAUCAAAGCCCCGUUGAUUCCGGGUUCAUUUGCAUCGCCUGUCACAGCUCCCAAAUAAGGCAUUCCAGCAUAAUCACUCCAAUCCUCAAACGUCCAUCCAAAUACCUCGCCAUAAAACUUCUUAGCACGUUCCAUGUCAUCUACAUGAAUUUCGAAAUGAACUAGUCGGCCCAUGAUUUCCUCCUAUGGUUUGACUUCCUACAUUUUUUAUUAUUAUACUAUCCUUUUUCACUAAAAAUAUAAAAUUUAAUUGAAAAUUUUUUGUGGUCUGUGCGAGGCUAGGGUGACAUAAAAAACCGUGACUACACUCGUAGAAGCUUAUGUUGCGUUAUCUUCGGACAGGGGUUCGACUCCCCUCGCCUCCAUAC